UGAGGACUGAAUGGAGCUAAACAGCUAAAACAUUAAUGAAACAUAUUUCUUUCAUGCAGGAAUUCCCAGACACCCAAGGAUAACCCAGAAAAGAGAAUGGAGCAAGGCAAAGAUCCCCAAUUCUGUUGCUAUCCAGUCAGGCCA